rnacentral:rRNA from 1 species
CCUACGGGAGGCAGCAGUGGGGAAUAUUGCACAAUGGGCGAAAGCCUGAUGCAGCAACGCCGCGUGAGCGAUGAAUGCCUUCGGGUCGUAAAGCUCUGUCCUCAAGGAAGAUAAUGACGGUACUUGAGAAGGAAGCCACGGCUAACUACGGGCCAGGAGCCGCGGUAAUACGUAGGGGGCUAGCGUUAUCCGGAAUUACUGGGCGUAAAGGGGGCGUAGGUGGUUUCUUAGGUCAGUGGGGAAAGUCUACGGCUAAACCGUAGUAAGCCUGUGAGACUGGGGAACUUGAGUGCAGGAGAGGAGAGUGGAAUUCGUAGUGUAGCGGUGAAAUGCGUAGAUAUUAGGAGGAACACCAGUUGCGAAGGCGGCUCUCUGGACUGUAACUGACAUUGAGGCACGAAAGCGUGGGGAGCAAACAGGAUUAGAUACCCCUGUAGUC